AGAUUUGGCGUUAACAGAGCACUCUCAAAAGUUAAAACAUUUAGGGACUGACAACCCCGUUAACAUUCCCCGAUGGGUAUCCUUAUGAGAGAUUUUCAGUGAAGAGAAUUAG